UUAUAAGGCAUUGUUAAGAGCUUACGAGUAACGCGUAACGCAUAAAUGAAAAACACAAUCAUGUUUAACACUAAAUUAGUUAACUUUAAUAAAUAAUCUGGGUAGAGUCUGGGAAAUAAUUCCUGCUACUACUCUAAAUCUAUCCUCCGCCCCGCCACUGGCCCAAUCCCUCAACCCCCAACCUCAGACCCCCCUCUACCUUCACCACCACCGUCUACCUCACACACCUCUCACACAUAUCCCUCACCUCUUAUUUCCAACACUACCAACAUCAAAAAUCAUAAUACACCUAAUACAUUUAUUUAUAUUAUCCUAUAAAGGAUGAACACUAUUAAAUUGUCGCCUACAUUUUUACUUUGCUAGCGUGUUACAUCAAACCUUUUUUUAAUAUUCUUUUAAAAUUUCAAAUUUAGAAGGCUCGUGAAAUAAUAGACAACCAUAAAAUGUUCACUUGUUUUUUAUCCAUGAAAAAGGCGUUACGCGAAAAAAAUGUUCAUGAAUUAAUUUUGCAAGAAUUUAGUGUGCAAGCUAUUUGAUAAGAGUCCGAGUAUCUCUUCCCGGGAUGUGGCGAAAAAAGUAGGAACAAGUCAAGCAAAUGUCCAAAAUAUUAAAAAAGAAUGCGGCACUACAACAUAAAAUAAGCAAAAGGCUCCGAAGAGAACUGUGGAUCAGUAUAAUCGUGCUGUUAGACGUUCCAGGUUAUUGUAUACAUUGUUGAUAGAGAAAAAUUGUUGCCUAAUUAUGGACGAUGAAACCUACGUUAAGGCAGACUUCAAGUCUUUACCAGGUAACCAGUACUAUUCCUCUCGUGACAUUUUGUAUCUCGACGAAUCGGAAAAGGUUAUCCCAGUAGAAAAAUUUGCUAAGAAAUACCUUGAUUGGCAAGCUAUAUGCCAGUGCGGCAUGAAGAGCUCACCAUUCAGCUCGGGAUAAUUAACACCCACAUUUUUAUAUCAGAAUGCUUGAAAAAGGGACUGUUACCAUUCAUGAAGAAGCACACUUCCUCAACAUUGUUUUGACCAGAUUUAGCAAGUUGCUAUUAUUCAUCUCGAACUUUGGAAUGGUAUACGGUGAAUUCAGUUGUGGUAGUGCCUAAGGAGAGUAACCCACCAAACGGUCCCGAACUUCGCCCAAUCGAUAAAUAUUGGGCUAAUAUAGAAACUUAACUGCGAAAACUUGCCAACCUGCCACUUCAUUGAAAGAUUUUCAACGAAAAUGGGUUAAAUGCACAAAAUUGUUAACCGAUGAUUCCGUGCAAAGUUCGAUGAAGCACAUUAAAAGUAAAGUCCGGGAAUUUUCUCGUCGUUCGUUAUAAUAGCCUUGAUAUUUUUUUUAUUGAUUUUAUGAUAUAUAAAAUUAGUCAUAUAAAGAAUUUUAAGCACUG